rnacentral:lncRNA from 1 species
CUUGCUCAUUAACUUGAUAAAGCUCACUGUUUUUUUUUAGAAUUACAGUAGCAAGUUAUAAAUGAUGUAUGAAAUGAAAAAUCUUUUCUCGCCCAGUGAUCAGGAAGAGAGUGCUGACAAUGCUUCGUCACUGCUGCUGCUGCUGCAAUGACAUCAAGUCAUGGAGUGGGCCCAGGACCAGCAACGACCUCAGGAGGAGUCAGGGAUGAGCAGGUGGUACCUUCCCUCCAGAGAGCCUUCUUCUAGACACACAGAAAAGGAAAAGAAAGACGGAAAAAAGAAAUGCAUUGGAUAAUGCCUGGGUCCGAAUGUCUUAAGGACUGGCAAUCAUGGAUGUUGUGGAAAUAUUAUCUUUGCCUCCAUGACUGAAGACACACACAAUGAUCAGGUAAGGAUGAGCCAAAAAGAAAUCUUAGAUAUUUUUUUAAA